AACCUAAAUAGCCUCCCACUGUCAGGAAAGAUGUUUCUUUAGGGAAGAAGGAGAGGCAAAGGGAUCCGAUGCAAGUGGAGACAACCCCCUUCGGACCACGUAGGAGCAUGUGGUGAACCUAUGGACGCAUGGAUGAAGCUCUCCUGGAUUGGGAGGUGUCUCCAGGAUGCUCCUCCUGCCGACCCAGAAGCCCCCUCAUGCCGAGGGAGCGGGUGAUGCCGUCCUCCAGCCUGGGUUCGCGCCCCGGUUUGAGCGACUGGAGCGGCUCCUGAACGUCCUCUUGCUCCUGGCGGUGCUCCACUUCCUUAUCCAGACCGCAAUCUAUUUCUCCUGCCUCUUCCUCAUCCUGCCCAUGGGUUUUGUCAUCUCCAAUGUCAUCUCUGGGGCCAACACCAUCAUGGCAGCCACAUCGUCUGAGAAUUUGCAGAUGGGCCCUCACGUUGGCCAAGGGGCAGCCGUGGUGAGAGCUCCUCAGAUGGUAUUGAUCCCCAACGUCCACGGGGUCGAGGACCUGGUGGUCUCCAUGGUGGCCGCGUACUUCCUGGUCCGAGCCGGCCUGGUCUUCUGCAACCUCAUCUUCAUCCUCCCCUUGGUCUUCUUCUUCAACGAAGCCAACAGCACAUGACACGGAGAAACCAAGGAGCAAUCAUGAAUAAAGGGAAGGGUCUGGACAAAGUGUGGGUGGACUCCUUUUUUGGCACAUGUUCAGAAAACU
rnacentral:lncRNA from 11 species